rnacentral:rRNA from 1 species
AGUGAACGCUGGCGGUAGGCUUAACACAUGCAAGUCGAACGGCAGCACAGUAAGAGCUUGCUCUUACGGGUGGCGAGUGGCGGACGGGUGAGGAAUACAUCGGAAUCUACUUUUUCGUGGGGGCUAACGUAGGGAAACUUACGCUAAUACCGCAUAUGACCUACGGUUGAAAGCAGGGGAUCUUCGGACCUUGCGCGCUUUAAUGAGCCGAUGUCGGAUUAGCUAGUUGGCGGGGUAAAGGCCCACCAAGGCGACGAUCCGUAGCUGGUCUGAGAGGAUGAUCAGACACACUGCAACUGGGACACGGUCCAGACUCCUACGAGAAGAAGCGGUAGGAGAUAUAAGACCAUGGGCGAGAGCCUGGUCCAGCCAUACCGCAUAAGUGAAGACGGCAUACGGAUUGUAAAGACCAUUUCUUAGGAAAGAAAAGCAGCAGGUUAAUACACCGAUGUAAUGACGGUACCCAAAGAAUAAGAACCGGCUAACUUAGUG